UAAGGAAUAUUGCUCAAUGGGAGAAAUCCUGAAGCAGCAACGCCGCGUGGAGGAUGAAGGGUCUAUGACUUGUAAACUCCUGUAAAGAAGGAAAAAAUUCCCAUUAGAUGGGAGAUGAUGGUACUUCUGGAGUAAGCCCCGGCUAACUACGUGCCAGCAGCCGCGGUAAUACGCAGGGGGCAAGCGUUGUCCGGAUUUACUGGGUGUAAAGGGUGCUCAGGCGGAUUUGUAAGUCAGAGGUGAAAUCUUACAGCUUAACUGUGAAACUGCCUUUGAUACUGCAAGCCUAGAGUAUGGAAGAGAGUGAUGGAAUAUCUGGUGUAGCAGUGAAAUGCGUAGAUAUCAGAUAGAACACCAAUGGCGAAGGCAGUCACUUGGUCCAUUACUGACGCUAAAGCACGAAAGCGUGGGUAGCAAACA
rnacentral:rRNA from 1 species